ACACUUUACACAAAACAAGCCUGUUGGAAGUAGCCCUUUAGAUAUAUAGUGUGAGAAUACAUGCCAGUAGAAGUCAAUGGGUUUGCAGGUGACAUUGUAUAUCAUCAUCAUUGUGGCAGUAGAUAAUAUGAACAUGUUGGUAAAUAAUUAGUGCCUUCUCUGGGCAUGAGGAAACUAGAAAGAGCAGAUGAAGAAUUAAAACUUAUCAGAAUUGCCAAUCUCCCACAGUGUGAUCUGCUCCAGAGAGCAGGGAAGUACAAAGGAGGCUAAAGAAGUUUGUGACAGGAAGGAACACAUAUGGAGGAGAGGUAAAAAUUAAUGAUCUUGUGUGCUGAGAGAUACCUGGGAAAUAAUCAUACACACAAGAGGCGGGUCCAUACUUGCCAGAGUUUACUUGUGGAGGUCAGUGGACAAUUUUUUGGAGUUGCUUCUUACCUUGCACCUUUUUGAAGAAAGGCUUCUUAAUUCUGCUACCCUAUGAACUUCCAUCUGAUUCUCCAAUCUCUACCUCAUAUCACUAGGUAGGAGUUCUGGGAUGAUAAAUUUUCCCAACCAUGUCUGUGUUCCAGAGACUGAAGUGUGGUCAGGUUUGUGUAGCCUUUUACACACAGAGCCAUUUCCUCAGUCGCCCAAAGACUCACGAAGAAUCAUGAAGAUACCUGAAGGACAACGACUGGUAUAGCAAUUUCAGAAUCAUUACAAAUUGUGGUUCAUACCUUAGAAUUAGUAUAGAGGCUGGGAUUCUGUUAUUGUAAGAUCCCAACCUUUGUUGCAUAUGGCAAUGAACUGAAAUAAUAACAUACGAAUUGCCAGU